AUGCUUAGUAGCGGCGAGUGAGCGGCAAAGCUCAAAUUUGAAAUCUGGCUCUUUCAGAGUCCGAGUUGUAAUUUGAAGAAGGUAUCUUUGGGUCUGGCUCUUGUCUAUGUUUCUUGGAACAGAACGUCACAGAGGGUGAGAAUCCCGUGCGAUGAGAUGAUCCAGGCCUAUGUAAAGUUCCUUCGAAGAGUCGAGUUGUUUGGGAAUGCAGCUCUAAGUGGGUGGUAAAUUCCAUCUAAAGCUAAAUAUUGGCGAGAGACCGAUAGCGAACAAGUACAGUGAUGGAAAGAUGAAAAGAACUUUGAAAAGAGAGUGAAAAAGUACGUGAAAUUGUUGAAAGGGAAGGGCUUGAGAUCAGACUUGGUAUUUUGUAUGUUACUUCUUCGGGGGUGGCCUCUACAGUUUAUCGGGCCAGCAUCAGUUUGGGCGGUAGGAGAAUUGCGUUGGAAUGUGGCACGGCUUCGGUUGUGUGUUAUAGCCUUCGUCGAUACUGCCAGCCUAGACUGAGGACUGCGGUUUAUACCUAGGAUGUUGGCAUAAUGAUCUUAAGUCGCCCGUCUGAA
rnacentral:rRNA from 1 species